AUACGGAGGGGGCUAGCGUUGUUCGGAAUUACUGGGCGUAAAGCGCGCGUAGGCGGACCAGUCAGUCAGGGGUGAAAUCCCGGGGCUCAACCCCGGAACUGCCUUUGAUACUGCUGGUCUUGAGUUCGAGAGAGGUGAGUGGAAUUCCGAGUGUAGAGGUGAAAUUCGUAGAUAUUCGGAGGAACACCAGUGGCGAAGGCGGCUCACUGGCUCGAUACUGACGCUGAGGUGCGAAAGCGUGGGGAGCAAACGGGAUUAGAAACCCCAGUAGUCC
rnacentral:rRNA from 1 species